CCUCUCUUGUUCAUUCCAGCUUAUAUACCGCCGUCGUCAGCUCACCCCGUGAGGGCCCUACCCAUAAAGUGAGCACAAUUGGUCAAUACCCAGCAAGUCAGGUCGAGGUGUAGCAAAAGAGAGGGGAAGAAAUGGGCUACAUUCUCUACAACAGAGAACUACGGAGAAUAGUCCUGAAACAAGACAUUCGAAGGUGGAUUUAGCAGUAAGAGGGGAACAGAGAGCCCCCCUGAAGCUGGCUCUGAAGUGCGUACACACCGCCCGUCACUCUCCCCCAGCACCCUCGCCAUAAAUUUUCAUAAAACGUAAGAGCAGCACAGGGGAGGCAAGUCGUAACAUGGUAAGCGUACCGGAAGGUGCGCUUGGAAAACACU
rnacentral:rRNA from 1 species